rnacentral:tRNA from 1 species
GAACAAGGCUUGUGCAGCAACGAUGACUGCUAAUUGUCGUCACCCUGGUUAGACCCCUGGGCUAGUUCG